rnacentral:rRNA from 1 species
UCAGGACGAACGCUGGCGGCGUGCCUAACACAUGCAAGUCGAACGGGAUUUGUUUCGGCAGAAUCCUAGUGGCGAACGGGUGAGUAACGCGUAGGCAACCUGCCCUCCGGCCGGGGACAACACUCCGAAAGGGGUGCUAAUACCGGAUACGAAGUCUGUGCCGCAUGGUACGGAUUUGAAAGAUGGCCUCUAUUUAUAAGCUAUCGCCGGGGGAUGGGCCUGCGUCCGAUUAGCUGGUUGGUGGGGUAACGGCCUACCAAGGCGACGAUCGGUAGCCGGUCUGAGAGGAUGAACGGCCACAUUGGGACUGAGACACGGCCCAGACUCCUACGGGAGGCAGCAGUGGGGAAUCUUCCGCAAUGGGCGCAAGCCUGACGGAGCAACGCCGCCGUGAGUGAGGAAGUUCUUCGGAACGUAAAGCUCUGUUGUUCCUGACGAACCUCCCUUCUAUCAACAACGGAGGGGACUGACGGUAGGGAACGAGGAAGCCACGGCUAACUACGUGCCAGCCGCCGC